CGGUUUCACUUUGGUACUUGCUGGACAGACUGCUGCCACGCCGGCUGGCUAGGUUGCUCUUGAUCCUGGCAGGGGCCGCUCCUUGCUGCUUGGUUGUAUGUGUCCCCUCUACUCUGAAAACUCACUAUGGGGAGGACAGGACCACAGGUGGUUUGUCCGUGUGUUUGCAGGACCAGUCUGAGGACUUGUGACCCUGAGGACCAUACACUCUGUCUUUGAUUAAUGACCGAGUACCUGCUAUAUGCCAGGCCUGGUAAAAGACUCUGGGUUAGGAUAAACAAGAAGGUCAAAGAGCUGCAGAGGCAAGGCAGAUACAGACUUGGCCGUGAAGAGUACCACAGAGGUUUGCAGACACUGGGCUGAGGGCCUGUGAGUCCAGCCAGGCUGGAAGGGGGAAGCUGCACAGCUUUGUUCUCAGGCUGCAUUCAGUAAACCUUGGGGAUCAGCAUUUCAAUCCAGUCAUAGCCAGAGGACAUGAAUUUAGUUCUCCCUUUUGACCCUCACAAAAUGGCACAUGCCUUUAAUCCCAGGCAGAGGCAGGCAGAUCUCUGAAUUUGAGGCCAGCCUGAUCUACAGAAUGAUUGCCAAGAUAGCCACAAAGAGAAACCCUGUCUCAGAAAGAAAAAUAAAAUGAAAUAAAAUAAAAUAAAAGAAUGAGGGUACGGUUCCUUUGGAAAAUCCCACUACAAUCAAGCCUAGGCCCAUAUCCUCACUUCUCAAGGAAGACCCUCAUCUACCGCCCUGCCCAGUCUUGCAAGGUAGCCUGCACUGUCCUGCAUAAGCAGCCCACAGGAUCCAGACCUAGGACUGCGGGGCGCUCAGAGCCACGAGGUCAAUGAGACACAGCCUUGAUCGCCCGUUAGACAGAGGAGGAAACCGCGCCUGCACAGGGAUUCGCAGAUCCGAUCCUCGCCCCCACCGCGCCUCUCCCGGGACUCCAUCAGCCCCCGGGCUCCCCACAGCGCCCGGGACUUCCCGGCUUGGCCCUGUCC